rnacentral:rRNA from 1 species
GACGAACGCUGGCGGCGUGCUUAACACAUGCAAGUCGAACGGGAUCCAUGGAGCUUGCUCCGGAAGAUCUAGUGGCGAACGGGUGCGUAACACGUGAGGAACCUGCCCCGGACUUGGGAAUAACAGUCGGAAACGACUGCUAAUACCGAAUACCCUCGGAGCGUCGCAUGGCGCCCCGUGGAAAGCGUAUGCGGUCUGGGAGGGCCUCGCGGCCUAUCAGCUAGUUGGUGAGGUAACGGCUCACCAAGGCAUCGACGGGUAGCUGGUCUGAGAGGAUGAUCAGCCACACUGGAACUGAGACACGGUCCAGACUCCUACGGGAGGCAGCAGUGGGGAAUAUUGCACAAUGGGCGCAAGCCUGAUGCAGCAACGCCGCGUGCGGGAAGAAGGCCCUAGGGUUGUAAACCGCUUUCAGCAGGGAAGAAAAUGACGGUACCUGCAGAAGAAGGUGCGGCCAACUACGUG